rnacentral:rRNA from 1 species
AGAGUUUGAUCCUGGCUCAGGAUGAACGCUGGCGGCGUGCCUAAUACAUGCAAGUCGAACGCGGGCACUUGUGCCCGAGUGGCGAACGGNUGANUAAUACAUAAGUAACCUGGCCUUUACAGGGGGAUAACUGCUGGAAACGGCAGCUAAGACCGCAUAGGUAGGGACACUGCAUGGUGACCGUAUUAAAAGUGCUGCAAGGCACUGGUAGAGGAUGGACUUAUGGCGCAUUAGCUGGUUGGUGAGGUAACGGCUCACCAAGGCGACGAUGCGUAGCCGACCUGAGAGGGUGACCGGCCACACUGGGACUGAGACACGGCCCAGACUCCUACGGGAGGCAGCAGUAGGGAAUUUUCGGCAAUGGGGGGAACCCUGACCGAGCAACGCCGCGUGAAGGAAGAAGGAAUUCGUUCUGUAAACUUCUGUUAUAAAGGAAGAAAGACGGAUGGAGGAAAUGACAUCCGAGUGACGGUACUUUAUGAGAAAGUCACGGCUAACUACGUGCCAGCAGCCGCGGUAAUACGUAGGUGGCAAGCGUUAUCCGGAAUUAUUGGGCGUAAAGAGGGAGCAGGCGGCAGCAAAGGUCUGUGGUGAAAGACUGAAGCUUAACUUCAGUAAGCCAUAGAAACCGGGCAGCUAGAGUGCAGGAGAGGAUCGUGGAAUUCCAUGUGUAGCGGUGAAAUGCGUAGAUAUAUGGAGGAACACCAGUGGCGAAGGCGACGAUCUGGCCUGCAACUGACGCUCAGUCCCGAAAGCGUGGGGAGCAAAUAGGAUUAGAUACCCUAGUAGUCCACGCCGUAAACGAUGAGUACUAAGUGUUGGAAGUCAAAUUUCAGUGCUGCAGUUAACGCAGUAAGUACUCCGCCUGAGUAGUACGUUCGCAAGAAUGAAACUCAAAGGAAUUGACGGGGGCCCGCACAAGCGGUGGAGCAUGUGGUUUAAUUCGAAGCAACGCGAAGAACCUUACCAGGUCUUGACAUACUCAUAAAGGAUCCAGAGAUGGAUAGAUAGUUAUAUGAGAUACAGGUGGUGCAUGGUUGUCGUCAGCUCGUGUCGUGAGAUGUUGGGUUAAGUCCCGCAACGAGCGCAACCCU